GUUUUUUUUCAAAACAUAGUUAUAAGAAAAUGACUUAAUGCUAUUCUAGACGUUAACGUGAUCAGCUAGCUAGUUAGCCAUAUAGCUAACAGUUAAAGUGUUACGGAAUAACCUGUACAUUUAAGAUUAGUAUCACCAUCGUAUGCAAUUUUAGACUUCUAAUGCUUCCUAGCUAGCUAGUAAGAUAGCCAUCUAGCUUGGUUGAUGCUACAAGCUUAACUAGCUUUAGCUUAGAAAACCAUAGUUUUUAGUAUGGUGGGGUUUUUUUACUUUUUAAAGCUCUUGGGCUUGUGUUUCUCCUUUUUCUAUAUAUUUUUUUUUCUGGAACCAAGAACAGCAAGCCAAAACAUUUUAUCAAAUAAAUGUCAGAUUAAUUAGUGAAUAUAUGAAUUAGUAUUAGGAUCAUUAUUAGUAUUGUGCAGCACAAGCCUGUAACUGUAUUUCAGGGUUAGGGGGUUCAGUUAGCAGUAGUAAGUAACAGUGGGUUGUUUCAUUGGGCAUGUCGACAGUAAGAAAAAUAGAUAUUAUACUGCAGCGCGGUGUCUGCAAGUGUCCAGCCAUCGAGCUGCAUCGCGUCUGUCCACACUGAAUUAUUAAUGAAUGAAUGAAUACUGAAUUGUUAUAUUUGCACUCCUGUUACAUCAUGUAAACAAAUCACGUACCAAGUACCAGCUCUUCAUCAUGAUCAGACUUCAGAAGUAUCCACUCAAGUAAAAGAUGGGUGUCUAUGGGACCAACGAUGACUGAGGAGAGAGAGGGACCACCUCUUCUCAGGGGAACGUUCUGCCUCUGCAGCUGGAUGGGAAGCUGUGUUGAAAGAGACAGGCCUUGCUGGCUUAGAGACUCCUGCCUGAGCAGCCCUAGAUAAUGAAAGCAUUGAUGAAAGAUCGUUUACUGUUUUCCUUGAGUUUUUUUUAUUUGCUGUAUUUAGCAUUUGAAAUGAACUGUGCACAGAUGUGAUUGUCCGGAAACUGACACAGGUGGUCGCACGUUGCUUGCAUCUGAACAGAAUAAAAUCAUUUUCCGGUUGAAGUAUUAAAUAAGCCAUCAAUGCUGCCCACAACCAUUGCAAAUUCUGCAGAUCCAGCUACACGUUCAAAGUCAGCACCUGUGCAGCCCUGUGGAUGAUAUUAUUCCACUGUGGAAAGUGAGAUGCCAAAUGCUCUUGACACACGGUAA